rnacentral:rRNA from 1 species
GAUGAGCGCUAGCUACAGGCUUAACACAUGCAAGUCGAGGGGAGACGCCAUCGAAAGCUUGCUUUUGAUGGGCGUCGACCGGCGCACGGGUGAGUAACGCGUAUCCAACCUGCCCAUCACUUGGGAAUAACCUUGCGAAAGUAAGACUAAUACCCAAUGACAUCCCACGAAGACAUCUGAAUGGGAUUAAAGAUUUAUCGGUGAUGGAUGGGGAUGCGUCUGAUUAGCUUGUUGGCGGGGUAACGGCCCACCAAGGCAACGAUCAGUAGGGGUUCUGAGAGGAAGGUCCCCCACAUUGGAACUGAGACACGGUCCAAACUCCUACGGGAGGCAGCAGUGAGGAAUAUUGGUCAAUGGGCGAGAGCCUGAACCAGCCAAGUAGCGUGCAGGAUGACGGCCCUAUGGGUUGUAAACUGCUUUUAUAAGGGAAUAAAGUGGGUCUCGUGAGACUUUUUGCAUGUACCUUAUGAAUAAGGACCGGCUAAUUCCGUG